UCGGGGUCCGAGGCCAGGGUCCCGGGCGUCAUGCGUGCGAGGCCGGAGGCGGCGCUGCCGCUGGUUCUGCCGCUGUCGGGCGGAGACGGCGGCGCGGGCUCCGUGAGCCGCGCCAGGCCGCGCUCGUCAGGGCUGCUGACCGGCAGCGGGGCCCCGAGGGCCGGGCGGCUGGGGGGUGGGGCAGGCGGACGGAGGCGGGAGGCCAGUGCGGAGGGCGCUGAGACGCCGCGAGCUGCAGCUCCGGGCGCGGCGCGGGUCUGGGCCGGAGAUCACCCCAGUCGUCCCAUUUCAGAAGGAAGAAGAGUAAUAUUUACCCUGAAAGUGUGGGAGCCGCGGGCGCUUGUGUCCGAAGUUGGGGCGCACGGGACGUGUGUGGCCUGUGGACAGUAACUCCUUUCUUAGUGUUAAUGGCUGAAACUUUGCCAUAAACCAGGUUAUUCACUCCCGCUUGACUUCAAGUGCGUUCCUGAUCUCUGAAUCUUGCGUGAGUUAGUUCAUUACUGGGCUGGAGAAGCUGAAGAAACACGGAUCUCAGUGGAGCCCAGACCCGACUGUAUUUUUCUAUAAAGAACACGGAUUGUACGAUAGGGAGACCAAAAAACCCUUUAGAGUAAGCCACUCAACAUAGAGAAUUUAAAUCUUCUCUCAGAAGUGUAUGGUAGAGCUCAAGAAGACAACCAGCCAAGGGUCAUCUGAAGUUCUGAUUGGCUCUCUGAUAACCCAGGACAAAGUUAGAGAGAACUGCUCCAGCAUAAGCAAGUGCUGUACUGUCCUGGAAAUUAGCCAAGAUGAUUGAGGCCAGGGAAAAGGAGCAAAAGAAGAAACAAAAACGUCAAGAAAAUAUUGCAAAAGCUAAACGACUGAAAAAGGAUUGAAGGAAUGAACAGCCGGC